UACGAAGGGGGCUAGCGUUGCCCGGAAUCACUGGGCGUAAAGCGCACGUAGGCGGAUCGAUCAGUCAGGGGUGAAAUCCCAGGGCUCAACCCUGGAACUGCCUUUGAUACUGUCGAUCUGGAGUAUGGAAGAGGUGAGUGGAAUUCCGAGUGUAGAGGUGAAAUUCGUAGAUAUUCGGAGGAACACCAGUGGCGAAGGCGGCUCACUGGUCCAUUACUGACGCUGAGGUGCGAAAGCGUGGGGAGCAAACAGG
rnacentral:rRNA from 1 species